rfam:Felis catus isolate Cinnamon breed Abyssinian chromosome C1, whole genome shotgun sequence.
GCCUGGGUGGCUCAGUCAGUUGAGCGUCUGACUUCGGCUCAGGUCAUGAUCUCGUGGUUCACGAGUUCAAGCCCCGCAUCAGGCU